AUGAAAACCUUGCUGGCCAAGCACUUCCCGACUCAUUUGUUCCUUGGCGGCAUGCUUGCGAUUGGGGGCGAUGAAGCAGCCCAAAACCCUUUGCCUCCGCCCCAUGCUGCCCCAACAUCGCCAGACUUGGGUGCUGGGUCAUCCUCACACCCUGCUGAUGGAGCAAGUGAUGCUCGUCGUAGGCUCAAUGCGCAGAUCACCCGCGCUGCGGCUGCGGCCUUGUCUCUGACUUUGGAAAGAACUAAGCUUGGUGAUGAUAAAGAUUUAGAGUGCAUGCAAGAAUCAUUCCGCAUACUAGAUCUCCAGAAGGAAGCAAAGAUGGGGGAGAUAGUGAACAUGGCGAGCGAGCAAUGCCAGAAAGAACUGGAAGAGAUGCUUGACAUGUUUGUGGCUGAAAUAUUGCACUUACUGUCAUACGGCCCUGGUACAGAUGGUGCAGAAUGGUGGAGGAAUGCUUCUGAGAGGUUCUUGUCGCUCCCUCCAGGGGAUCAAGGGAGAGAGGACAUGGUUGCUAUGGCACGCACAACAGCAUCUGCUAUACAGAGGAUGACAAUUAGCAACUUAAACAUCCAGACAGGCGCACACAUUGAGCAAGUGGUUGAGGAGUCGGACAUGGAAGGCAACAAUGGCGAGCCGGGAGCACCUACUAGUGAGGCGGCGCAUGACGGACAUGCUAAUGCUGGGGUUAGUGUGGAAGCCGGCAAUGGUGAGCCUGCGUUGGUUUCAGUCGAAGCUUCUGGCGGCAGCAACCAUCAUGGUGGGAGUGCAGUGCAGGCACCCAUACCUCUGGCCUUUAGGCGUCCGUCAACUGAAUACAGCAGCGAUGAUAGUUCUUCAGAUGAUACUACAAGCAACAGUGAUGAUGAUAUUGUUGAUGUGGAUGAUAGUGAUCUCUCCGGGAAUGCAAACUACCAUUAG
rnacentral:rRNA from 1 species